UACGGAGGGUGCGAGCGUUGUCCGGAAUCAUUGGGCGUAAAGGGCGCGUAGGUGGCCCGGUCAGUCUUUGGUGAAAGCGCGGGGCUCAACCCUGCGUCGGCCAGGGAUACUGCCGCGGCUCGAGCACUGUAGAGGCAGGCGGAAUUCCGGGUGUAGCGGUGGAAUGCGUAGAGAUCCGGAAGAACACCGAUGGCGAAGGCAGCCCCCUGGGCCAAUACUGACGCUCAUGCACGAAAGGCGU
rnacentral:rRNA from 1 species